GAACAGAAAAAGGAACUCCAUUUUUUUUUUUUUUAAAGAUUUUAUUUAUUUAUUUGAGACAGAAUGAGAGAGACAGCACGAGAGGGAAGAGGGCAGAGGGAGAAGCAGACCCCCCGCCGAGCAGGGAGCCCGAUGCGGGACUCGAUCCCGGGACUCCAGGAUCAUGACCUGAGCCGAAGGCAGUCGCUUAACCAACUGAGCCACCCAGGCGCCCCAAAGGAACUCCAUUUUUAUAGGUCCCAGCUCCCUCUGACCUCACCUUGGGUUGGGAGACUGAGUCCCGCCUCAUGCCUGGGCCAUGGUGCCCUGUUCCGACUGGGUCACCUGUCAGGGCCGUCAUUUGAUGAACUGCAGGGACUGUGCCUGGAUUCCAUAUGGAAUCCCCAACGCCUAGAGUAAACUUGGAACCUAACGAAGAGCGUUGAGUGAAUGAAAGCAUGACGUGAGCCCCGACAGCUUGUCAGCUGGCUGGAGACCAGGACCAUGGUUCCCAAUCAGGGGACAUUUGGCGAAGUCUGAAGACACUGCGGGUUGACAUGUCUGGAGGGAGACUGCAACUGGCAUCUAGCAGGAUAAAUGUGCUGAGCUCCUUUACCCCUUCGCCAUAGGAUCUGCCUUCAGCACCCUCCUCCGCAUCCCUCCCUGGCUUCGGAGGGAUGGCCUCCCCUCUUCCCUCUGGGCUCCGGCAAGGUGGACUCCCCUCGUCAUGUCCGUGCACACCUCAUCCCUCCUCCUGGAUCCACUUUUCCAGCCUUGGACUCCCCAAAUUCUACUCUCCUCUGGGAGCCCCUCCUCAGGCCAUGCGGAAUGUAAGCUUUGUGACUGGUCCUGGGUGGGGGCUUCAUGAACUUUAUUUAUUUGACUUUAUUUUUUAAAAAGAUUAUUUGGGGCACCUGGGUGGCUCAGUCGUUGGGCGUCUGCCUUCGGCUCAGGUCAUGAGACCAGGGUCCUGGGAUCAAGCCCCACGUCGGGCUCCCUGCUCGGCAGGAAGCCUGCUUCUCCCUCUCCCACUCCCCCUGCUUUUGUUCCCUCUCUCUCUGUGUCUCUCUCUGUCAAAUAAAUAAAUAAAAUCUUAAAAAAAAAUUAUUUAUUUGAGCGAGAGAGAGAGAGAGAGAGAGAGAGAGCAUGAGCAGGGUGGGGGAGGGGCAGAGGGAGAAGCAGGCUCCCCACUCGAUCCCAGGACCCUGGGAUCAUGACUUGAGCUGAGGGCAGAUGCUUAACUGUCUGAGCCACCCAGGCGCCCCUACUUGACUUUGUUUUUGAAGAGCGGUUUUGGGCUCACAGCAAAAUUGAGAGGAAAAUACAGAGCUCUCUUAUACGCUCUCCCCACUCCAUUGUGCGGGAUCAUCAACAUCCUGCACCAGAUGGUACCUUUGUUCCAACUGAUAAACCUGUGCUGACACACACGGUCACCAAAAGUCUGUAGUUUAUGCUAGGGUUCAUUCACUCAGUGCUGUACACUCUACGGGUUUGAACAAAUGUAUAAUGACACGUAUCCACCAUUAUAGUAUAGUGCAGAGUAAUUUCACUAUGCUCCAUCUAGUCAUCCCUCCCCUCCACCAACCCCUGGUCUUCGGUCUCCAUAGUUCUGCCUUUUCCAGAAUGUCACAGACUUGGAAUCAUACUGUAGGCGGGCUUUUCACAAGCAUUAUUUCAUCCAAUGUAAAAGAGCAGUUGAUGAGAUGUAGUGCUGGGUCUUCUCAGACUCUGUUGCUGGCAGGAUAAACUGGUAGGACCUUUUAUUUGGGAACGUGUAUCAAGAGGCUGAACAUGUUUACACCCUGUGACCUGGCGAUUCCACUUUUGGGAAUCUAUCCUAAGGACAUAACCGCACACAUUCGCGAGGACUGACGUGCAGGGCUGUUCAGCCAAGCAUUUUUUCACUCGAGUGGAAAGUGAGAAACAGUCCCAGGGCCCAACCACAGGGGACAGGUCAAUAAACUGGGGUCCACCCAACGCAGUGCAAACCCUGGUCAGCUGUCCGUGGCAGGUCGUGGAAGAAUGUUCCAUGCCAUAGAGACGUUUUGGUAAUGUAUUCAGUUAAAAUAUAGCACCCAGGUCAGCGUGCACAGUGUAACGGGGUAAAUCACUUUGUAACAAAUGGAUGUUUGCGAUGUCUGUAAUAAGGAUCAAUGUGUAGAUGGUCUGGGAGGAAGCCCAUCAAAAUGUCACUAGUGGUAACUCUGCUCAGUGGAAAUCAUGGGCAGUUUUUUAUCUUCUUCCGAAUGGUUUUCUGUAAAUAGUUGCUCCUUUUAUAAUUGGGAAGGGAAACGGAUUUAAAAACAACAAGAAAAAUCCAUUUUCGUCAUGUGAUUCCUGUAAGCCUCACGUGGGAGCCACUUCGUUCUCUGCGUAUCACCACUGAACUCCACCUGAUUCUAUUUCGGGGCCUUCACAUCACCGUGACUGUUGAGAAAUCCCAGUGCAGUGCAGACCACGUGCAGCCCUGGCCAGAGAAGGUGCUCACCAGGGACGCGGGCAGGCAUCCCACGGAGCCGCCUGUCAUCUGCAGCGAAACACUCCAGCUGUCCCCGAGAAUCCACAGCAAACCGAUGGUUUCUUUGAUGGGCCGCAAAGCUGCCCAAGGGCAGAACGCACUGCCAGGCAUCUUUGCUCCUUGCCAACCACUCAGCCUCUUUGACCCAAGGACAGGACAACAAAGUUGACUGUGCCCCCGGGUCUGGAUUUAUUUUUCUUCUCCCCGCUCUCCUUUCUUUGUGCCCAUUGCUCUUCUGUGUAUAUGAGUAAAACAGCAUGUGAA